CCUACGGGUGGCAGCAGUGGGGAAUCUUCCGCAAUGGGCGAAAGCCUGACGGAGCAACGCCGCGUGAGUGAAGAAGGUCUUCGGAUCGUAAAGCUCUGUUGUCGGGGACGAAAGGGUAGACGAGGUAAUGCGUUUACUAAGACGGUACCCGACGAGGAAGCCACGGCUAACUACGUGCCAGCAGCCGCGGUAAUACGUAGGCGGCAAGCGUUGUCCGGAAUUAUUGGGCGUAAAGGGAGCGCAGGUGGGACGGUAAGUCCGUCUUAAAAGGCAGGGGCUCAGCCCCUGUAAGGGAUGGAAACUAUCGAUCUUGAGUGCCGGAGAGGAAAGCGGGAUUCCCAGGGUAGCGGUGAAAUGCGUAGAUAUUGGGAAGAACACCAGUGGCGAAGGCGGCUUUCUGGACGGCAACUGACACUGAGGCUCGAAAGCCAGUGGAGCGAACGGGAUUAGAUACCCGUGUAGUC
rnacentral:rRNA from 1 species